CAAUAUAUUGUGUCUUUUUAAAUGUAUGAUGUAUAUUUUUAAUUACAAUUUUGAAUAACAAUCAUGUAUAUUAAAUUAAUUCUGUUGACCUUUGCAGAACUAUGCUGACGGCUCUCAGUACAGUCACAUGACCGGUCGGGACCUGGGGUCACAUGACAGCAUCUCUCCACCCUAUUCUAAUGCCAGGCUAGCAGGUAAAUCGGAGCGAGUGUCGUAUUCAUAUGGAAGAGACUCCAGCAUUCACUGUCAGGUAAGAGACUCUACACUAAAGAAUAAGUGUUUUAUCUCAGAUGUUUGUCAUUUGGACAAAAAGAGUCAGAAGUCAUCCUGCAGUGAGAGUUUGACAGUUUUUUAUGAUGAGAAAUAUUGAAAUCUGUGACUUUGGAUUGGAAGUUUGUGUUUUGCCAGAUCUGAGAACAGUUUUCAAUAGUAUCUGGAUGCAGCCUUUAUGAUGCACUGUGAGACUGCAUCACUAAGCGAUUCAAUGUCAGACACAAUGCACUCAGUGGAGUGAAUAGGGGUGGGGUUAGGUGACCGCAUUAAAAAGCAUCGGUUGCAGCUCAGAUUGCACUGCACCAGGUCUGCAUCCAGACCCCUCUCAUAGUUUUAGACAUCUUUUUAUUCUUUAAAACAAACCCAGAGGAAAUGUAUGAGAUUGCUGCACGAAAAAAUCUGAAAAUGAUUGUGCUUCUUGUUCAAACUACACUGCAACUGAUAUCUUGUCUUGUUUCUAGUCCAAAUAUCUACAAAUUCCUAAAUCAAGAAGCAUUUUCUAGACAUGCAAAACACAUUGUCUUUUUUUAGGAAAUAAAAUGUCAAAAAUGAAGUGAGUCGUUUCUUGAGGAAAGCAAAAUAAUCUUGUUUUUCCUUGUUUAUUUUGACAAUAAAAUUGCUUGUCCUAAAAAUGCUCCUUGAUUUAGGAAUUUGUAGAUAUUAGAAACAAGACAAAACAAUCUAAGUAAGAUUAGCAUUUUUGCAGUGUACUUGUUUAAAAUAUGCUGAAACAAUAUAAUUCUUGAGUUUUUUAUUGGGGCAACUUAAUUAUAAGAUGUUCAAUCCACUUAAAUCUGCUAAGUAAGCUAAAAAAUCUCAGUAUUUUAUUGGAGAAGAUCUGGAAAUGUCAUUUUUACUGAUUCCUGUGGGACUAAACAGGUUAUUAAAGGGCAU
rnacentral:lncRNA from 1 species